AGAUUGAACGCUGGCGGCAUGCCUAACACAUGCAAGUCGAACGGGAGUAGCAAUACUCUAGUGGCGGACGGGUGAGGAAUACGUAGGAAUUUGCCCUUAAGUGGGGGAUAACCCGGGGAAACCCGGAUUAAUACCGCAUGACCUCGAAAGAGCAAAGUGGGGGAUCGCAAGACCUCACGCUUUUGGAGAAGCCUACGUCGGAUUAGCUAGUUGGUGAGGUAAUGGCUCACCAAGGCGACGAUCCGUAACUGGUCUGAGAGGAUGAUCAGUCACACCGGAACUGAGACACGGUCCGGACUCCGUACGGGAGGCAGCAGUGGGGAAUAUUGGACAAGUGGGCGCAAGCCUGACUCCAGC
rnacentral:rRNA from 1 species